rnacentral:tRNA from 1 species
GGGCGGUUAGCUCAGCUGGAUAGAGCGUUGGUCUCCGAAGCCAAAGGUCGCGCGUUCGAAUCGCGCACUGCCCG